CCACACCAAGUGUUCUGCCUGAGCAGGGCACUGGCAACCGGGGUGGAGCUGCAAGAGCCUUUGGCCCCAUGGAGGGACUGCUGGCUGCCGGCUUCUUCACUUCAGCUCCUUCUGGAGAUGACCAAGUCUGUGGUGGUGCCUGAAGAUUUAAGCAAGGCCCAGGUCAUGCUGGGUUUCAUGGGGAGAUGAUGGUGGACUUCAUUUCCCAGCCUCCUUUGUGGCUAGGUGUUGUCAUGUGACUGCGUUCUAGCCAGUGGACAAUGGUAGUAUGAAGCCCUGAGGGCUGAGACCACAUCUGCCUGGUUUUCUGUGGCAGCUGCAGCAUCAACACUGGCUCUUCGAAGAGUAGCAGCUGAUGAACAUUACUCCGGCAAACAAUUUUCUCUGCUAGGAACUGGAUAAAUGCAAAGGAAGGAGGGGAGAGUGUGUCAGACGGGGACCCUGCCCUACUGGAGCACACGCAUCACCACCUGGGUUAGGACGGCCUCACCCGUCCCCUGGACCUUCACCUUAUGUCCCAGAGAGGAGACAUCUGCUAGAGCAAAGAAAAUUCAUUGUCAUAUAAAACAAACAAGAAAACACACACACACAUGUGCACACACACAUACAGAAAGCAAAUAAAACAUUGUUAGAUGA
rnacentral:lncRNA from 1 species